rnacentral:rRNA from 1 species
UACGAAGGGUGCGAGCGUUAAUCGGAAUUACUGGGCGUAAAGCGCGCGUAGGUGGUUUGGUAAGCGAUAUGUGAAAUCCCCGGGCUCAACCUGGGAACUGCAUGUCGAACUGUCAGGCUAGAGUAUGGUAGAGGGGUGUGGAAUUUCCUGUGUAGCGGUGAAAUGCGUAGAUAUAGGAAGGAACAUCAGUGGCGAAGGCGACACCCUGGACCGAUACUGACACUGAGGCGCGAAAGCGUGGGUAGCGAACAGGAUUAGAUACCCUGGUAGUCCACGCCGUAAACGAUGUCAACUAGCCGUUGGGGGGCUUGUCCCUUCAGUGGCGGAGCUAACGCGAUAAGUUGACCGCCUGGGGAGUACGGCCGCAAGGUUA